GAGAAGCGGACCGGUUUGGGCGUGGGCGCCGAGGCCCGGGGGUGGGUCCCUGGCCGUGGGCUGAUGGUCGGCUCCGGCCACCCUAGAAGGCGACACUGCGAGGGAUUUCCUAGUGAGACUAUCUGGAUUUGAAUCCUGAUUCCAUCAUCUUCAUUCUGUGACCUGAGGACAAUAUAAAAGCCUUAAUGCUGCCAUGUGGAGAGAGUUGACCUGAGAAAGGAAGCUCACAUUCAGAAAACAGCAGGUAAGAGUUGGAAGAUACAAGAGCCGGGAAAAGUCAGCCCUGGACUCACUGACACUUGAAAAUGGAUAAUCCCUCAACUUCCUUUUACAUAAUCCAGGGAAUUCUUUUUUUAGCCUGGACUAAUUUGAGUCAAGUUCCUGAGCUUGCUACAGAACCUAUCGCCACCAACACACACAAAAACUGAAACCAGUGGUUUGUCACCCUCAGGAUCUACACCAUGUUGGAGAUGUAGUCAUCGGAUUUAAACGAAGCUUAAAUAGAAUCUUUGCUUAGUCCUCACAUGGCUCUCCCCACUGCUAGUGAUUUUCUCUUUGCACAUGACUGCUGCCUUUUGUUUCUUUCACAGCUGCACUCAUGAUCUGGGCCAAUCCCAGCCUUUCAGUUUGACACAUGUGGCAUCAUCGUUUUGUGUCUUCUUUCUUAUAUAACCUCUCAUAAGCUGCUUUCUGCUGUUGACAUUCAGUCAACCCAUUCUCUAUAAUUCUCAUGGUUUUGAGCCUCAAGGCUACAAUAAACCAUAUUGUUGUAUAGUAUUUUUUGAGAAGUGGUGAGUUUUAAAAGAAUAUGAAUCGCUGAGAUUACAGUUCAUGAAUGUUAAGAAAAACAGUGAAGAUGCAAGUAGAUUGCAGCUUUGUGUGAUGGGAAAAGGCAGACUCCAUGGAUACCAAUGUAAAUCGAGCAUCUUUUCUUAUAUGAAAAAUCCAUUAUAUAUGACCUUGUUGCUAAUCUAAUUCUAGUUCAACUGCAUGUGUUAAAAUUUUCAGAAGUCUAUAUGAAAUUUAAAAACAUGUACAUUGUUUCUGGGAAGUUAUCUGCAAUAUAAAAUAAUCCAGCCAUGAAAAAAAUACAGUUCAGAGAAAAAGAUAUAUAAAUGAUUUACAAAUGAUAAGGUACUGGAUCUCUGUCAGGAUUAAAGAAAUGCAUAUUAAAAUAACAAUGCUAUGCUAUUUCUUAUUACAGAUUGGCAAAGGCAAGAACAAACCCUUUCCAACACAUGGUGCUAGUAAAAAUACAGGUUAGCACAAGCUCUUUCUUUGGUUGGCAUUUCUAUAGUCUUUGUCUAAAUUUCAAACACAUGUAUUCUCUGACCUGGAAAUUUUAUUUCUAGAAAUUUACAGAUUCAUCACAGAAGCAUAAAAGAGCCUAUCUUACGAAGUUAUUUGUUGUGGCAGCUUGUCAUAGUGAAAAUCUAAAAUCACUCUAAUUGUGUUUCAAUAGAGAAACAGUUUAAUACAGUACAUUCAUGUCACAAAAGAAUUGCCUGGCAGGGACAGAUUGUUAAGUGCAAAAAGCUAGUUAAGAUUGUGUGUAUAUGAACUGGAAAUAUGGCUCAGUGGUUAAGAGGACUGACUGUACUUGCAGA